UACGUAGGCAGCGAGCGUUGUUCGGAGUUACUGGGCGUAAAGGGCUCGUAGGCGGUUCGGUAAGUCGGGUGUGAAAACUCUGGGCUCAACCCAGAGCCGCCACCCGAUACUGCUGUGACUCGAGUUCGGUAGGGGAGCGGGGAAUUCCUGGUGUGAGCGGUGAAAUGACGCAGAUAUCGGGAGGAACACCUGUGGCGAAAGCGGCUCACUGGACCACAACUGACGCUGAGGCGGCGAAAGCUAGGG
rnacentral:rRNA from 1 species